rnacentral:tRNA from 1 species
GGCGCUGUGGCUUAGUUGGUUAAAGCGCCUGUCUAGUAAACAGAAGACCCUGGGUUCGAAUCCCAGCAGUGCCU